CCUACGGGUGGCUGCAGUGGGGAAUAUUGGACAAUGGGGGGAACCCUGAUCCAGCCAUGCCGCGUGUGUGAAGAAGGCCCUCGGGUUGUAAAGCACUUUCAGUGAGGAAGAACGCCUGGUGGUUAAUACCCAUCAGGAAAGACAUCACUCACAGAAGAAGCACCGGCUAACUCCGUGCCAGCAGCCGCGGUAAUACGGAGGGUGCGAGCGUUAAUCGGAAUUACUGGGCGUAAAGCGCGCGUAGGUGGCUUGAUAAGCCGGUUGUGAAAGCCCCGGGCUCAACCUGGGAACGGCAUCCGGGACUGUCAAGCUAGAGUGCAGGAGAGGAAGGUAGAAUUCCCGGUGUAGCGGUGAAAUGCGUAGAGAUCGGGAGGAAUACCAGUGGCGAAGGCGGCCUUCUGGACUGACACUGACACUGAGGUGCGAAAGCGUGGGUAGCAAACAGGAUUAGAUACCCUGGUAGUC
rnacentral:rRNA from 1 species